UUCUCAUGUGAUGCUCUUCAUGAUGGACAAUUCAUACAAUACAGAAGUUAACCUUCCUCAUGAAGAGGAUGUAAGUUUUGCAGCUGAUGAACCAAUGAUGAACCAAUCAUGAUGCAGGAUACUUCAUAAGUCACCAAACCUCCCUUGGCAGUUUAACAUCUUUUGUUCUAGAAGGUUGUUUCACAGCUGUACCUGAACAUUGGCUCCACUGAAGGAAGAGAGUUGAAAGGGAAUUUGAAUUUCAAAGCCGAACAACAGAAGCAACAGUGUUGCCAUAAUCUGCAGGCUCUUACUUGAACACAGAAAAGCAGGAUGCCUCCUCAGAGAUAAACUGCCUUAAGAAAGGAGAUUGUUCCACGGAUGUUAUCAAAGCUUAAUGAACUAAAUAUUGUCCUUCUCUCCAGGAAAAGAGGUCGCACUUUGCUUAUGAGGAAGCUCUACUUCUGGUCCUGCAGGCAGUUUGCCAUCCCAAACCCAAC